rnacentral:rRNA from 1 species
UACGUAGGGGGCAAGCGUUGUCCGGAUUUAUUGGGCGUAAAGAGCGUGUAGGCGGCUCGAUAAGUCUGCUGUGAAAGUCCAGGGCUCAACCCUGGAAGGCCGGUGGAAACUGUCGGGCUAGAGUCCGGAAGAGGCGAGUGGAAUUCCCGGUGUAGCGGUGAAAUGCGCAGAUAUCGGGAGGAACACCAAUGGCGAAGGCAGCUCGCUGGGACGGUACUGACGC